rnacentral:rRNA from 1 species
GGUUAAUUCGAUGCAACGCGAAGAACCUUACCAAGGCUUGACAUGCCAGAAGUAGGAACUUGAAAGAGAGACCACCUGUAUUCAGUCAGGAACUGGCACAGGUGCUGCAUGGCUGUCGUCAGCUCGUGUCGUGAGAUGUUCGGUUAAGUCCGCUAACGAGCGCAAACCCUCGCUGUGUGUUACAAGUGUCACACGGUACUGCCGGUCUUUAAAGCCGGAGGAAGGUGGGGAUGACGUCAAGUCAGCAUGGCCUUUAUGUCCUGGGCUACACACACGCUACAAUGGCCAACACAAUAGGUUGCUAAGCCGCGAGGUGGAGCCAAUCCUCAAAGUUGGUCUCAGUUCAGAUUGCAGGCUGCAACCCGCCUGCAUGAAGAUGGAGUUGCUAGUAACCGCAGGUCAGCUAUACUGCGGUGAAUACGUUCCCGGGGCUU